AGUGAAUAGAUACCCGGGUAGUCCUAGCCGUAAACGAUACUCGCUAGGUGUCGGCCACGGUGCGACCGUUGUCGGUGCCGUAGGGAAAGCCGUGAAGCGAGCCACCUGGGAAGUACGGCCGCAAGGCUGAAACUUAAAGGAAUUGGCGGGGGAGCACCACAACGGGUGGAGCUUGCGGUUUAAUUGGAUUCAACGCCGGAAAUCUUACCGGGACCGACAGCAACAUGAAGGCCAGGCUGAAGACUUUGCCGGAUUAGCUGAGAGGUGGUGCAUGGCCGUCGUCAGUUCGUACUGUGAAAGCAUCCUGUUAAGUCAGGCAACGAGCGAGACCCACGCCCACAGUUGCCAGCGUACUCUCCGGAGUGACGGGUACACUGUGGGGACCGCCGCUGCUAAAGCGGAGGAAGGAAUGGGCAACGGUAGGUCAGUAUGCCCCGAAUAUCCCGGGCUACACGCGAGCUACAAUGGUUGGUACAAUGGGUAUCUACCCCGAAAGGGGAUGGAAAUCUCCUAAAGUCAAUCUUAGUUCGGAUUGAGGGCUGCAACUCGCCCUC
rnacentral:rRNA from 1 species